GAGUCCUAUGAUAUACAUUUGUAUGUAUAAUAUGGUAUCAAAAUGGCAUAUACAUAUAUUAGCAAAGCAUACAUAUUUAGCAAAGCACUAAAAUGUAGCGAACUGAGGCAUUAAAAAUGCGCAUAUGUAUGUAUAUCCAUACAUACAAGUAAACGAGACUGACGGAAAAUAAUAUAGCAACUAUCAGACGUAUCUGGGACUCUAAAAAGGUUAAUGUAAAUUAUGCAGUAUUUAUUUUUAGGCUUUUUCUGACUAAUACCUUAGUGGUGGUAACGUAAUAUCUUUUCUCUUCCGGUUUAUUGCUGUUUCAAUGAAUUGUGUGCACCAGCUUUCUCGCUUCAGCAGCAAACAAAGCCAAUUGAACUGCAGAAAUAAAUGAGAAUACACCAGAGAACUUAAAGCAAUGGAAGCAAAAGAAAAGCUCGUCCAUUAGGGCCUACAGCUGAGUUGCAAAUAAGGAAUUUUAUAGAAAUUAAUAAGCAAAGCGGAAGGGAGACACGGAAAGCAAUGAAGUUCCAAUAAAAAGGAAAAGGAACCACAAAGAAAACAUAAACAAAAGAUUUUGAUGAUAGCGACAAUUAGUUACAUGGCCACCUGUCGGUUACAAAAUAUUGCCGCUAUUGGAAAUUAUAGCGCUAUUAGUUACUUCCAGUGAUAAGCUUCCUUUUAUACUGCUGUGCUGCCAGAGCCGCCAAAUUAUAAUUAAACCACUCAACUUAAGGAUCUAUCAUAAUUAUAACUUAUGAACGUCAGCAUUGCUUACAUUCCUAUUUGUACUUAACAGUCCAGUAUAUGACAUGCUCAAUAAUAAUUAAAUAUCACAAGUUGCGAAUAUUUAAUAAGGUCAGAGGAGAAGUGUAUUAGGUGAACAUUAAGUGUUUUUACUCCUCAACAUCGCAUAUAAGGUUCUAUCGAGCGUAUUGUGUGAAAGAUUAAAGCCCACCGUCAACAAACUGAUUGGACCUUAUCAGUGCGGCUUUAGUCCUGGAAAAUCAACAACCGACCAGAUAUUCACCAUGCGCCAAGUCUUGGAAAAGACCCGUGAAAGAAGAAUCGACACACACCACCUCUUCGUCACGACAGCACGAAAAGGAGCUGCCUUUAUGCCGCGAUGUCUGAAUUUGGUAUCCCCGCAAAACUAAUACGACUGUGUAAGCUGACGUUGAGCAACACCAAAGGCUCCGUCAGAAUCGGGAAGGACCUCUCCGAGCCGUUCGAUACCAAACGAGGUUUCAGACAAGGCGAUUCCCUAUCGUGCGACUUCUUCAACCUGCUACUGGAGAAAAUAGUUCGAGCUGCAGAACUAAAUAGAUAAGGUACUACAUAUCUUCUAUAAGAGUAUACAGCUGCUGGCGUAUGCCGAUGAUAUUGAUAUCAUCGGCCUCAACACCCGCGCGGUUAGUUCUGCUUUCUCCAGACUGGACAAAGAAGCAAAGCAAAUCGGUCUGGCAGUGAACGAGGGCAAGACGAAAUAUCUCCUGUCAUCAAACAAACAGUCGUCGCACUCGCGACUUGGCACUCACGUCACUGUUGACAGUCAUAACUUUGAAGUCGUAGAUGAUUUCGUCUAUCUUGGAAGCAGCGUAAACACCACCAACAAUGUCAGCCUAGAAAUCCAACGCAGGAUAACUCUUGCCAACAGGUGCUACUUCGGACUGAGUAGGCAAUUGAGAAGCAAAGUCCUCUCUCGGCAAACAAAAACCAAACUCUAUAAGUCACUCAUAAUUCCCGUCCUGCUAUAUGGUGCAGAGGCUUGGACGACGUCAACAACUGAUGAGUCGACGUUGCGAGUUUUCGAGAAAAAAGUUCUGCGAAAGAUUUAUGGUUCUUUGCGCGUUGGCUACGGCGAAUAUCGCAUUCGAUGGAACGAUGAUAUAUGACGACAUUGACAUAGUUUAGCGAAUUAAAAGACAGCGGCUACGCUGGCUAGGUCAUGUUGUCCGAAUGGACGGAAACACUCCAGCUCUGAAAGUAUUCGACGCUGUACCCGCCGGGGGAAGCAGAGGAAGAGGAAGACCUCCACUCCGUUGGAAGGACCAGAUGGAGAAGGACCUGGCUACGCUUGGAAUAUCCAAUUGGCGCCACGUAGCGAAAAGAAGAAACGACUGGCGCGCUGUUGUUAACUCGGCUAUAAUAGCGUAAGCGGUGUCUACGCCAAUUAAGAAGAGAAGUGUUUUUAUACUUUUCUAUUGCAAUUAAGUUCAUGUAUUUAUAUAACUAUAAACAUAUAUAUUAAUAAUAAUCGCUAAUUACCAUUUUUUAUUUUCUAACAUAUUUCCUUAAAAAUUUGAAUUUGAGAAUUAAGACCGAUAUGUUCUCGAAUUAGUUCUUAUUAAGGGAUUACAUGGGUUUACGACUCUUAAAAAAUCGAUUUUUUUAUUGUUUUACUAAAUUCUACAACACCUCUAGA